rnacentral:lncRNA from 1 species
CCGUUUAUCCCUAUUCGCCAUCUCUUUCCUUUAUCUGAAACAUGAUCUGCACUGAUGACUUUACCAAUUUUAGUCGCCGGUAAAGCUUUGUUCCAGUGAGUCUCCAUGAGUAUAUUAUACUCUUCGAUCUCAUCCUCACCAAAUCUCGUGCGAUGAUGAUGACGUCUGGUUGCUCCGACGAGUCAAGUAGGUCGUACGCAGCUACUGCUUCUUCACCCUUUUUCGCUUUGGUUCCGAAGAUCGAUUCAGCAACCCAAGUCUUAUGCUAUAUCUCCUUCAAUCGAAUCAUCAAGACAUGCCAGUUGGGUUGCCUAUUUAAAGCAGUUCACAUUCACUAUUUGCCGUAAGUCUGGGAAGCUUAAUUGUGUGGCUGAUACUCGUAGUAGACGACAUGGAUUACUCACUACGUUGCAUUCCUCUGUCACGGGUUUCACUGUCUUUUCGGAC